GACGAACGCUGGCGGCGUGCCUAAUACAUGCAAGUCGAGCGAACCUUUGGGAGCUUGCUCCCAAAGGUUAGCGGCGGACGGGUGAGUAACACGUGGGCAACCUACCUAUAAGACUGGGAUAACUUCGGGAAACCGGAGCUAAUACCGGAUAAUCCUUUUCCUCUCAUGAGGAAAAGCUGAAAGUCGGUUUCGGCUGACACUUACAGAUGGGCCCGCGGCGCAUUAGCUAGUUGGUGAGGUAACGGCUCACCAAGGCGACGAUGCGUAGCCGACCUGAGAGGGUGAUCGGCCACACUGGGACUGAGACACGGCCCAGACUCCUACGGGAGGCUG
rnacentral:rRNA from 1 species